ensembl:lncRNA PCA3 prostate cancer associated 3
GUGGCUUGCAGCUCUCAAAACAGUUUGGCAGCUAAGAGAGGCUGAGGCUGAAGGAGGGGAGGGAAGAAGCUGAUUUGCAGCUGUUCUGGAAGACGGAAAGUCCAAGAUCAAGAUCCUGACAUACUCGCUGUCUGAUGAGCACCUGCCUCCUGAUUCAUAGGCUGCCAUCUUUUUGCUGUGUCCUCACGUGACAGAAAAGGUGAGGUUCUCUCUGAGGUCUCUUUUAUAAGGGCAAUAAUCCCACUCAUGGGGGCUCUGGCCCCAUGACAUGAUCACCUCCCAAAGGCUCCACUUCCUAAUACUAUCAUUUUGGGGAUUUGGAUUUUAACAUAUGAAGUUUGGGGCAACACAAACAUUCAGACCGGCGAGUAGGGAGAAAAUAAAGCACUUCUUUGUACAUGACUUCAUUCUUGGGCUUCCUAGUAUUCCAGUACCUGAACAUGGCAGCAGAAGAGGUCUAAAUGGAAGCAAUUAUUGUAUUAUCUAUUGCCUCAUACAGGUUUUGAGAACCACAAGCCUUCCUACCCUCCACACUGACCCGGGAAAGGUGGGGCCACUCUAUGUGGUGCAGCAUCCUUCUUUAUGGGACAGUAUAAGAUGGUAAAUGGAGAGGCUACCCCAUUUCUGUUCGCACACAGUUCUGCUGUCAUCAACAGCAGCCAAGUUCUUUUCGUGUGUAGCUGUAUUCCUUCUUGAUGAGAUAAAACUAAGAAAUGUGCUCAAUUGUAGCCUUGCUGUAUAGAAAGCACAAGAGGCUACCUUGUACCUUCUCUUCCUUAUUUACAGGUUAGAGUCUAUUUAUUAGUAAGCUGCCAGGUUGAUGAGUCAAGGAAUUAUGAAGCUCUGGCAGUUGCUUGCCUCCAGCCCCAUCCUUUCUUGAGACAAGCACAGAUGAGCAUUCAAACCAAGCUCAAUAUUGAAUCACUGGCAGUGCUCGACUGUUCUGCUAACAUCAGUGACAGCAGAAAUUUAUAGACACCGCUGCAGGGCAGCACAUAUAGGUGUGGAGUGCAUGACCAUACAAAAAUAUUACAGGUCCCGUAUUCAGAAACUGUACCAGGAGCUAUCUACUUUAGCAACAUAGCCUCAGGUACAAAUUUACAUGCAAGAAUUCAUAUUCUACCAAAUAAAUCCCAGGCAAACAGAGUAAUGCAAAAACAUAUUUCCUGCUGUCAAGAAAAUUUCUGGCAAAAUUAAUCAACCAUUCAUCCAUUCAGGCUCUUUGCAUACCCUUUUGUCAAAGAGGGAAUACUAAGAGAUUUCUUUUCUCUUCCAUGCACUCAUUUCAAUGAAUUGAAGAAUCCAUCAAGCUUGAGUUGAUUUAUUGAACUGUCUCUUGGCUCAGCAGUACAACUACAGCAAAUGAACUGGUAACUUCUCCUAAAACCAGCAGUGAUUCAAUUCAACAAUAUCUGAUUUAUUUAACUCUUUAUAAUUCCAGAUUUAACUUAUUUUUGCAUUUCUAAGCAGAACAAUUUUUUGGAUAAAACCUUGCAUAUUUGCAUGCAUUAUUUAGUAUUCUGAAAGCAGUGAUUAAAACAUACAGAGCCUAAGACUUCUUCUUUUAAGAGACUUUAAUAGCACAUUUAAAUUAGGUAGUUUUUUAAACAACGACUUAUUUAAAUACCUACAGCUGUGUUUUAAAUGUUUCAAAGUGUUUUUUUUCUGGUGGUUAAUGUUAAUAUUAACAUUAGAUGACCAAUCACUUUGGUUUAGAGCACUAAAAACAUACAAAAUGCUUAUUUUUGUAUUUAAUCAUUCUACCAGGUAAGGAGAAUCACUGUGAGGGGAUAUUUAAGGCGUAAACAUUAGCGAGCAACCGAGCUGACUGUUUAAACACGGGUUUUUUCACUAAAUCGCGUCCACUGAGCCCCAUGGAGCCCAUUUAUCACACAACCAACUUUGCAUUUUUCUUUGUAAAGAUGUACGACCUUUGCCUAUUAGAUUUCAUUAGCAGGGCACCAUACAAGGCUCCUUUGCACAUGGCAGGAUAGAAAGCUCAACAUCCUCGCCUCGAGGAUUUGUGGGAACAAGCUCGUCUUCAAUCUUUGUCCCUGGGAGGCACUUUUAACACCUGCCAACCAUAGCACUAUCAUCAGAAAAACAUUUAGAGAUUUAUCUUCGGGCUGGUAAUUAUAAGAGAUAAUUUGUUUGGAGUAUGGAUAAAGUUGGUCUAGCAUAAACAAACUAGAGGCUCAAAUUACAUGAUGAACAUCAUUAACUAUUGAUUUAACCACUGCAGGUCUGCAGGCUCACUGACACUCUCUGAAGAUGGCGGGUUCCUAAAAAGUCAUGAGAGUUGAGGGAUGCAUUUCAGUGUAUGCUCAGAGACAUCAUGGCUUUCAUCAUCUUCCUUCUUCUUCUGAGUAACCAACUCUAGGUAACCUCUGUUUAGAAGUCUGAACAUUAAGCACAAAAGAAUUAUUUGAUACUUCUCAUGUUUUAGAAUUGAAAUUACUUUGCUUUAGGAAGAUUUUUAGAGGGAUGAAGUCAAAGGUAGCAUGUGUCAUAGAGCACAUUAACCUUUCAAAGCCCUUUGAAAGACUUUGAAAUAUAUUAUUAUCUUAUCACAGCCUCAUAAUCACCCUGUGAAGUGGGCAGAGCUGGUGUUGGAAUCCAAUUUUAUAAGAAAACUGACACGGGGAGGGAGCUAAGAGCUUAAGGGCCUCAACCAAACUACAUUACGCAUGGAUUACCUCGUAUAUUCCACUAUUCUUAUCCCAUUUUCCACAAAGAACACCAAACUGCAGAAGUAAAACAGGAUACUAAGGAGGAAGAGAAAAAUCUCAUGGACAAAUAUAUAGUAGAUGUAAAAAUAAAUGCUAGAGUGCAGGAGUAGAAUUCCUGGUUUGGAUACCAGCUGUAGCCCAUGCAGCUCUGUCAUUAAGUAGUGAUGUGGCUCGAUGUGAAAAGUGACAGCCUCAAGCUCUCGGUUUAGAGCCAUGCCUAUAAACACAGGAAGUACUCAAUAAAUGACACUAUUAAUAGUCUUUAAUGCUAUCAUGAAUGAUGAUAACAAAAAGAAUGGGGUUGGCAAGCACCACUGAGCCUUUCCCAAAUAUAAGUCUAUAUAAUCGCUUACCAGAAAUCCCUGGAACCAGGGAUAUAGUUUGUUACUGAAUUUUUUUUUUUUUAAUUUGAGAAAGGUAAAAUGGUGCUUAUAAUGUAUACUAUGAAUCAACCCAAGUGAAGCCUAGGGCAGCUCCCCUAAAGCACACAAAUAUAUAUGCAUCAAAAUAUAUAAAGAGGGAUAAAGGCCAUAAAUAUCACAUCAGAGUUUGCUGUCAGAGUUUCAAAAGCCCUAGAGUUUUCGGAACUCUUUAGAUUUCAAAAUUGUAGAUGGGGGACUACAGACCUGGAUUAAUUCUCAAUAAAAUGUUAACUAUCCACCAGGCGCGGUGGCUCAUGCCUGUAAUCCCAGCUCUUUGGGAGGCCAAGGCAGGCAGAUCACGAGGUCAGGAGUUUGAGACCAGUCUGGCCAACAUAGUGAAACCCCGUCUCUAAUAAAAAUACAAAAAAUUAGCCGGAUGUGGUGGUGUACACCUGUAAUCCCAGCUACUCGGGAGGGUGAGGCAGGAGAAUUGGGUGAACCUGGGAGGUGGAGGUUGCAGCGAGCUGACCUGGGCGACAGUAUGAUACUCUGUUUCAAAAAAAAAAACAAAGUUAACUA